ACGACGAUCCAAGUUUUAGAGAAUUGGUUAAAUUCACGAAUGCAACUCGAAAGGUACAAAAGAAUCUGAUGGGAGAGCCUGGAAACCUAUUUCUGUUCUUGUUGUCAACAUGCCUCUACAGUGGUUUCAGAAAAAAACAGAAAAAUCUACGUUGCCUUAUAAAUAAACAGUUACAAGCGCGCGAGCACGUAGAAGACGACAGCACACUUGAUGAUCUUAUAGACGGUUACUUAAAGAAGGUGGGCGGGAGCGAUUUCCCAGCUGAAGAUUGUAUUCCUCACAUAAUAAACUUGAUGCUAGCAUCGAUGACACUUAAAGAUGCGCUGCAGUGGCUACUUCUUCUCAUCACCAAGCACCCCCAUGUCCAACUUAAGAUUCAGGAAGAAGUGAAUUCAGUGCUUGGAGACAGGGAACCGACGAUGCCACCAUUUACGAAACACUGCGCAUGGCGUGCCCAGCGGCGCAGCUCGUUCCGCACGCGACGCAGAAGGAUGUCAAUUUUGAAGGUUAUCAGAAAGAGUACGGUCAUUUUUGGCAAUAUUUGGGGGCUGCAUCAUGAUGAGCGCAACUAGGAGGAUCCUGAAAGGUUUAACGCAGACCGAUUCUUGGACAGUGAUGGGCAGCUGGACAUCAACAAAGACUCGUACUUUCCAUUUGGUCUUGGAAAAAGGCGAUGUCCAGGUGAAGGAUUUGCUAAGAAGGUGAUGUUUCUUUUUAUUACCGUCAUAUACCAACGUUACGGAUUUGAAGCAGCGGAUGGCGAAACGCUUCCUGACGUCGCUGAUGGCGUGAUUUACGCCGGAGUUCACAAUUCACCUCCAUACAAACUCACAAUAGUGCCACGAUAAAAAAAAAUCGAAUUCAUCUAAGCUGACUAUGUUGGCUAUUAUCAAUAAAUAUAAUUAUAAGUGGAGAUGAACAGAUUUUAUUGUUGUUGAGGUAUAGUUAGGCCUACAUAGCAGCUUAGCUCA